CGUGAGAAUUUUCAUUGUCUUAUAUAUUUUAUUGUUUCCCUUCAACGUGGUGACUUUACCGAAAGAGCCAAGAAUACAAAAACAUAGUAGCUUGGUUUAAUCACGGAUGGGUGGUGGAGGGGGGGUUACACAACUCAUCACUACGCGUGGCCCCAACCCAAAAACAAUCCAACCUGCGGGUGAUGGGCAACCUUAGGGUGGUGGUGGGGGGCAACCCGUGAACCCGUGGGAGCCCCUCGUAGUGGCCGGGUCUCGGUGCGUCUCGGGCGAUGCGUGGUGGGGGGGGGGGGGGGGUGUCUCGAUGAGGAGUGCUCAAGGGCGACGUGGAGCUUGCGGCCCACUGAGGUGCAGGAGCAGCAGCAGGAGGAGGAGAGGAGGGGGGAGGAGGGGAGGGCCCUUCGCUGGACUUGAUGACCGACCAAAACAAAGUGUCCCUCGGAUAUGGAACGGGGGGGGGGGGGGGGGUGGGUUGUUGAGCAACGGGCGCGAUGCGGCCACGUUUUAACGUCGCGAAUAAACCCGACCCCCACGGGGGGGCCCAAGCCGGCAGCUGUAAAACCAAUCGGGAUUGUGCCGACUUGCCGGCUUGUGCCCCCUACCCCCCCCCCCCGCCGACGAUGGCACCGCGUGGCGAGCGGCGUCGGCGUCCUCGCGUCUCACGAUCGCUGCGGGAGCCAGCCCCUUGCGACGAGGACGUAACCGCCGCCGCCGCCGCCGCUCGACGGAUUUUAAUUUCAGAGCCUCGUCGUUACGGGGCGCGGAGGGUUCGCAGGGUGAGAUUUGACCCAGGGUGAGAUUUGACCCAGGGUGAGAUUUGACCCAGGGUGAGAUUUGACCCAGGUGUGAGAUUUGACCCAGGGUGAGAUUUGACCCAGGGGGGUUCACGUGGCCUGAUAAAGAGAUGUCGAUUUUAUUCUUACAACCCUCGUGUACUCGGAGCAUCCAGUCCUCUUUUUUUUUGACCAAAUAAAAUGCCGAGAUAAUACGGA